GGGGGGGGGGGGGGGGGGGGGGGGGGGGGGGGGGGGGGGGGGGGGGGGGGGCGGGGGGUGGGGGGGGGGGGGGAGAGUGGCGCGCGGGUGCGGAACGCGUGAGCAACCUACCCUUGGCAGGGGGAUAGCCCGGCGAAAGUCGGAGUAAUACCGCAUGACAUCAUUGAGAGGCAUCUUUCGAUGAUCAAAGAUUUAUCGGACAAGGAUGGGCUCGCGUGACAUUAGCUAGUUGGUAAGGUAACGGCUUACCAAGGCUACGAUGUCUAGGGGCUCUGAGAGGAGAAUCCCCCACACUGGUACUGAGACACGGACCAGACUCCUACGGGAGGCAGCAGUAAGGAAUAUUGGUCAAUGGACGGAAGUCUGAACCAGCCAUGCCGCGUGCAGGAAGACGGCCCUAUGGGUUGUAAACUGCUUUUAUACGGGAACAAACGUCGGUACGUGUACCAGUCUGAGUGUACCGUAAGAAUAAGGAUCGGCUAACUCCGUG
rnacentral:rRNA from 1 species